ACUCAAAGGAAUUGACGGGGGCCCGCACAAGCGGCGGAGCAUGUGGCUUAAUUCGACGCAACGCGAAGAACCUUACCAAGGCUUGACAUUCAGGGAAAUCUCACAGAGAUGUGAGGUCCGCAAGGGUCCUGAACAGGUGGUGCAUGGUUGUCGUCAGCUCGUGUCGUGAGAUGUUGGGUUAAGUCCCGCAACGAGCGCAACCCUCGUUCUAUGUUGCCAGCGCGUAAUGGCGGGGACUCAUAGGAGACUGCCGGGGUCAACUCGGAGGAAGGUGGGGAUGACGUCAAAUCAUCAUGCCCCUUAUGUCUUGGGCUGCACACAUGCUACAAUGGUCGGUACAAAGGGCUGCGAGACCGCAAGGUGGAGCGAAUCCCAAAAAGCCGGCCUCAGUUCGGAUUAGGGUCUGCAACUCGACCCUAUGAAGUCGGAGUCGCUAGUAAUCGCAGAUCAGCAACGCUGCGGUGAAUACGUUCCCGGGCCUUGUACACACCGCCCGU
rnacentral:rRNA from 1 species